rnacentral:rRNA from 1 species
CUCGACCUGAUAUCAGGCAAGAUUACCCGCUGAAGUUAA